UUAAAGAGUGUUUUGUUUUUACUAAUUUAUGUUCUUAAGUGUUCAGUUCAGUUUCAGAUUUUGGGUUUAUGUAAAAAGGUAAAGACUUUUAUUUUGGUAAAUGCUGCUGUUGCAUUCAUGCUGUUGUUUCACUCAUGCGGUUUCUGUUUACGCGCAAAAGAGAAACAGUUGGAGGGAAAAGACGGUGGUAGACAGAUAGCUGCUGGAAGGUUCUCAAACGCUCUUACGGUGAAUUCUGGAAUUAAAGACAAUAAAUCUCCAUGAAUCAUCAGUUUUCGAGUUUUGACCAUUAAUCAGCUGGGUUCGCUACACUACUGAAACAUUACAGAUUGUGUCAUUACCAAGGGCGCUCCUGGCCAUUGCCGUGUUUGUAUCCUGACUCUGCUUACCUGGAAAACCAGUUUAUUUAUUGAUGCUAAUUAUACUUUUGCUGGAGUGGCACAGGUUUAUGGCUUAAAAUACAUGUCUGUUGUGAAAGUAAAAUAAAUAUUUAAAGAAUU